UUAAGGGGAAUGACCAUCAUACGUUACCUUUGUUUGAGCAGAUCCUUGAGAUGGACACGUAUAGCUACCAUGGUCACUUAGGCGUGAGGCAGGUGCGAGAUCCAAUCGAUAGAGUGAGAAAGUUGUUCAUCUCAUGACAUAGAUACUGAGAAAGAGCUAAAGAUAAUCACAUAUCUACUGAGAAAGAGCUGAAGCUAAACUGUGAGCUAAAGGAGCUUCCGGUUCAAUAAAGUUCAAGACAGUGCAACAAAAACUUGCUCUAAUUAUGUUGGAUUUUUCAACUCAAUUCCAAGUGCAUAGCCUUUCUUGUAUCAGUUUAUCAAUUCCUUUUUUUUAACAACUCUUCACGAUGUCUAGACGCAAAUAAAAAGGUCAAAAGCAUUGUUCUCUUUUUUUUUUGAAAUUUAA